rnacentral:rRNA from 1 species
GUCUACGGCCAUGCUACCCUGAACAAGCCCGAUCCCAUUUCAUCUCGGAAGCUAAGCUGGAUCGGGCCCAGUUAUACUUGGAUAGGAGACCAUCUAGGAAGACCAGGUGCUGUAGGCG